AUAAGUUAUUUUGAUAGUUUUUAAAAUUAUAUAACAUGACAUCUUUGUGAAAUCAUGUAUUUGUAUAAGGAAAUGCGUUUUAGUCACAGCAGGGAAAUUUCAUCUAACUCAUUCAAGCAUGACUCUUACAUUUGUUAAGAGUAUGGUAAUUGUAUUCUCCUAGUAGAAGAUUCUUUUAUUCUGUCAUUAUAUAUUGUCAUUUUUAGAUACAAAACUAAUUUCUGUCAUAUCUUGCCAAAAAAAAUGGGCCACAUUUCCAAGCAAUCACAUUAUUAUUCAUACUCUGAGCAUUUUUUUCUAUUAUAAAAAGAUCUCCCCUUUAUCAGCCGUGUGUGACUCUGGACUUCAAAGGAAAUAGAUGUAUACAUGUGACGGUUAAGUGUGGAGGCAGGAUCACUUGCCUCAUUCAUCUGUUACUCCCCCUGAGUGCCUACUAGGUGUCAGGUGCUAUGCUGAGCACAGGAUUGGAUGUGUGAAUGUAGCAAGAAGCCGACAGAUGUGUACCUAGUGUCCUGGGGCUACAGCCAAGUACCAAAGAAGAGAUGUGCAUUGGUUUCAUGGGCCAGACGACAACUUUGUGUCUUCCCACUCUGAGUUCCACCUUGAGGCUUGUACACGCAGAUGCCUUCUGGGCCCUCCACGUAGACAUGGUUCAAGAACUUCAAAUUCAAAUGCCCUCAUUGCAGACCACCUUAAGAAUCAGAAGAACCACCUGUCUGAUCUGCGUCCUCCAUUUAUCUUCCUCAAAGUCAAACUCCACACAGCCCAGAGCAUGAUUUAUUAAAAACACAAAUCUAACCAGGCUACUUCUUUAUUGAUGUCACUCCAAUGGGUCUACCUCAAUUAUGGCAGCAAUGUUUAUACUAUAGGUGGGAACCCAUCAAUGGGUUAUGAAAUCAGUUUAGUCACUUGUGAUCAGAGUUUUAAAGUUACAUAGGGGCGCCUGGGUGGCUCAGUUGGUUAAGUGACUGCCUUCGGCUCAGGUCAUGAUCCCAGGGUCCUGGGAUCGAGUCCCACAUCGGGCCCCUGGCUCUGCGGGGAGCCUGCUUCUCCCUCUGCCUGCCACUUCCCCUGCUUGUGCACGUGUGCUCUCUGUCUCUCUGUCAAAUGAAUAAAUAAAAUCUUAAAAAAAAAAAAGUUA